rnacentral:rRNA from 1 species
GCGCUGGGAGUGCAGGGGGGGGGGGGGGGGGGUAGGGGGGGAGCGUGUUCUGGAAAUAUGGGGGGUUAAGGGCUGGUAGGGGGUGUUGAGGGUCGGCAGGGAGAGUCCGGGGCUCAAUCACGGGCGUGCUGUGGGGACGGGCAGACGAGAGUAGGGGAGGGGAGACCGGAAUUCCUGGUGUAGCGGUGGAAUGCGCAGAUAUCAGGAGGAACACCGAUGGCGAAGGCAGGUCUCGGGGCCAUAACUGACGCUGAGAAGCGAAAGCAUGGGGAGCGAACAGGAUUAGAUACCCGGGUAGUC